CUAAGCACACUGUUGGUUAUGUGUGCCCAAGCAUUGAGGCAGUCAAAGUAGGCAAAUCCGCUUUGAUAAUGCUGGGAUGUGAUGGGGAGCGAAAUUUAGUAGCGAAGUAGCUGAUUUCACACUGUCAAGAAAAGUCUCUAUCGAGGUUAAAGGUACCCGUACCGCAAACCGACACAGGUGGGUGAGGAGAGUAUCCUAAGGCCAGCGAGAGAACUGUUGUUAAGGAACUCGGCAAAAUGACCCCGUAACUUAGGGAUAAGGGGUGCCACCAUCAGGUGGCCGCAGAGAAUAGGCCCAAGCGACUGUUUACCAAAAACAUAGGUUUCUGCUAAGUCGCAAGACGAUGUAUAGGAGCUGACGCCUGCCCGGUGCUGGAAGGUUAAGGGGAUCUGUUAGAGCAAUCGAAGCAGUGAACUUAAGCCCCAGUAAACGGCGGCCGUAACUAUAACGGUCCUAAGGUAGCGAAAUUCCUUGUCGGGUAAGUUCCGACCCGCACGAAAGGCGUAACGAUUUGGGCACUGUCUCAACAACAGACUCGGUGAAAUUGUAAUUCCGGUGAAGAUGCCGGAUACCUGCGACAGGACGGAAAGACCCCAUGGAGCUUUACUGUAGCUUGACAUUGGGUCUUGGUACUACAUGUACAGGAUAGGUGGGAGGCUUUGAAACCAGGACGCCAGUUUUGGCGGAGCCAUCCUUGGGAUACCACCCUUGUAGUACUGGGACUCUAACCAUAGGCCAUGAAUCUGGUCUUGGGACACUGUCAGGUGGGCAGUUUGACUGGGGCGGUCGCCUCCCAAAAGGUAACGGAGGCGCUCAAAGGUUCUCUCAGUACGGUCGGAAAUCGUACGUAGAGUGUAAAGGCAAAAGAGAGCUUGAUUGCAAGACAUACAGGUCGAGCAAGGAUGAAAAUCGGACUUAGUGAUCCGGUGGUUCUGCGUGGAAGGGCCAUCGCUCAACGGAUAAAAGCUACCCUGGGGAUAACAGGCUUAUCUCCCCCAAGAGUCCACAUCGACGGGGAGGUUUGGCACCUCGAUGUCGGCUCAUCACAUCCUGGGGCUGUAGUAGGUCCCAAGGGUUGGGCUGUUCGCCCAUUAAAGUGGUACGCGAGCUGGGUUCAGAACGUCGUGAGACAGUUCGGUCCCUAUCCGUCGCAGGC
rnacentral:rRNA from 1 species